rnacentral:rRNA from 1 species
UGCCUACAACAUAGUGUUAAUGCACUGGAUCCCAUUAUAACUUUGCAGUUAAGCAUGCUCGAGCUAGAGUAGUACUGGGAUGGGUGACUGCUCGGGAAGUCCUAGUAUUUUUCAUAC